AACGAACGCUGGCGGCAGGCUUAACACAUGCAAGUCGAGCGCCCCGCAAGGGGAGCGGCAGACGGGUGAGUAACGCGUGGGAAUCUACCCAUCUCUACGGAAUAACGCAUGGAAACGUGUGCUAAUACCGUAUACGUCCUUCGGGAGCAAGAUUUAUCGGAGAUGGAUGAGCCCGAGUUGGAUUAGCUAGUUGGUGGGGUAAAGGCCUACCAAGGCGACGAUCCAUAGCUGGUCGGAGAGGAUGAUCAGCCACACUGGGACUGAGACACGGCCCAGACUCCUACGGGAGGCAGCAGUGGGGAAUAUUGGACAAUGGGCGCAAGCCUGGUCCAGCCAUGCCGCGUGAGUGAUGAAGGCCCUAGGGUUGUAAAGCUCUUUCACCGGUGAAGAUAAUGACGGUAACCGGAGAAGAAGCCCCGGCUAACUUCGUGCCAGCCGCCGCGGUAAGAC
rnacentral:rRNA from 1 species